rnacentral:sRNA from 1 species
GCUGGGCGCAGUGGCGCAUGCCUGUAAUCCCAGCAGUUCAGGAGGCUGAGACAGGAGGAUCAUGAGUUCAAAGCCAGCCUCAGUGAUGGAAAGGCACUAAGCAACUCAGUGAGGCCCUGUCUCUA